CGGACGGGUGAGUAUGUCUGGGAAACUGCCCGAUGGAGGGGGAUAACUACUGGAAACGGUAGCUAAUACCGCAUAACGUCGCAAGACCAAAGAGGGGGACCUUAGGGCCUCUUGCCAUCGGAUGUGCCCAGAUGGGAUUAGCUAGUAGGUGGGGUAAUGGCUCACCUAGGCGACGAUCCCUAGCUGGUCUGAGAGGAUGACCAGCCACACUGGAACUGAGACACGGUCCAG
rnacentral:rRNA from 1 species